AUACGUAGGUGACAAGCGUUAUCCGGAUUUACUGGGCGUAAAGGGCGUGUAGGCGGUCUUGCAAGUCAGAAGUGAAAUUCCUGAGCUCAACUCGGGCGCUGCUUCUGAAACUGCAGGACUUGAGUGCUGGAGGGGAUAGCGGAAUUCCUAGUGGAGCGGUAAAAUGCGCAGAUAUUAGGAAGGACACCGGUGGCGAAGGCGGCGAUCUGGACAGGAACUGACGCUGAGGCGCGAAAGCGUGGGGAGCAAACAGGAUUAGAUACCCGGGUGGUCCACGCCGUAAACGAUGAAUACUAGGUGUAGGGGGUAUCGACUCCCUCUGUGCCGCAGUUAACACAAUAAGUAUUCCGCCUGGGGAGUACGGCCGCAAGGUUGAAACUCAAAGGAAUUGACGGGG
rnacentral:rRNA from 1 species